GACGAACGCUGGCGGCGUGCCUAAUACAUGCAAGUAGAACGCAGUUGCGAACGGGUGAGUAACGCGUAGGUAACUGCCUCAUAGCGUGGGAUAACUAUUUGAAACGAUAUCUAAUACCGCAUACUGUGAGGUCGACCUGCGUUGUAUUAGGUUGUUGGUGAGGUAAAGUCUCACCAGGUCGACGAUACAUAGCCGACCUUAGAGGGUGUUCGGCCACACUGGGACUGAGACACGGCCCAGAAUUCUACGGAAGGCAGCAGUAGGGAAUCUGCGGGAAUGUACGGAAUUGUGACCGAGCAAGGCGGCGUGAGUGAGGAGGGUUUACGAAUGGUAAAGCUCUGUUGUUAGAGAAGCGGUAACUGAACAGAAAGGGACGGCUAACUACGUGCCAGCAGCCGCGGUAAUAC
rnacentral:rRNA from 1 species